rnacentral:tRNA from 1 species
GUAGUAGCUCAGAGUUAGAGAUCCCGCCUCAUGUGUGGGAAGACCUGGGUUCAAUUCCCGGCUGC